AUUAUAUAUAUAUAUAAUUUAAUUUUUUCCAGGCAAUAAAUACUUUUUAGUUGUUUUUUUGCAUGAUAAAACCACGGUGAUUUUGCCUAGAAAAGAUGUCAAGUUUGGAGUUGGUGAUGACACCGGUUCUCGUGUAAGCGUCUCAAAAAUGGACACUAUUGAGGGCAGAUACAAACCUGAGUGGUAUUCCACAAUCCUACUGGGGUUUUCUACCGAUUACGUGGAGUUGAUACAAGAACAGGGGAAUUCAGCUUAGAUUGCUUCAAAGAAAC